ACUGCUCAGUAACACGUGGAUAACCUGCCCUUAGGUCUGGCAUAACCCCGGGAAACUGGGGAUAAUUCCGGAUAGAUCAUGGAUGCUGGAAUGCACCGUGGUCGAAAGCUUUUGUGCCUAAGGAUGGGUCUGCGGUCUAUCAGGUUGUAGUGGGUGUAACGUACCUACUAGCCUACGACGGAUACGGGUUGUGGGAGCAAGAGCCCGGAGAUGGAUUCUGAGACAUGAAUCCAGGCCCUACGGGGCGCAGCAGGCGCGAAAACUUUACAAUGCGGGAAACCGCGAUAAGGGGACACCGAGUGCCAGCAUCCUAUGUUGGCUGUCCAUAUGUAUAAAUAACAUGUGUUAGCAAGGGCCGGGCAAGACCGGUGCCAGCCGCCGCGGUAACACCGGCGGCCCGAGUGGUGGCCACUAUUAUUGGGUCUAAAGGGUCCGUAGCCGGUUUGGUCAGUCUUCCGGGAAAUCUGACGGCUUAACCGUUAGGCUUUCGGGGGAUACUGCCAGGCUUGGGACCGGGAGAGGUAAGAGGUACUACGGGGGUAGGAGUGAAAUCUUGUAAUCCCUGUGGGACCACCAGUGGCGAAGGCGUCUUACCAGAACGGGUCCGACGGUGAGGGACGAAAGCUGGGGGCACGAACCGGAUUAGAUACCCGGGUAGUCCCAGCCGUAAACUAUGCUCGCUAGGUGUCAGGGACGGUGCGACCGUUUCUGGUGCCGUAGGGAAGCCGUGAAGCGAGCCACCUGGGAAGUACGGUCGCAAGGCUGAAACUUAAAGGAAUUGGCGGGGGAGCACUACAACGGGUGGAGCCUGCGGUUUAAUUGGACUCAACGCCGGAAAACUCACCGGGGGCGACAGCAAUAUGUAGGUCAAGCUAAAGACUUUACCAGAAUCGCUGAGAGGAGGUGCAUGGCCGUCGUCAGUUCGUACUGUGAAGCAUCCUGUUAAGUCAGGCAACGAGCGAGACCCCUACC
rnacentral:rRNA from 1 species